rnacentral:rRNA from 1 species
GGUCAGAACGAACGCUGGCGGCAUGGAUUAGGCAUGCAAGUCGAACGCUCACCGCAAGGUGGGAGUGGCGGAAGGGUGAGGAACACGUGAGUAAUCUACCUCCAAGUUGGGAAUAACAGUUGGAAACGACUGCUAAUACCGAAUGUGGCUGUUGGACCGCAUGGUUUGACGGCUAAAGAUUUAUCGCUUGGAGAUGAGCUCGCGUCCCAUUAGCUAGUUGGUGAGGUAACGGCUCACCAAGGCGACGAUGGGUAGCUGGUCUGAGAGGAUGGUCAGCCACACUGGGACUGAGACACUGCCCAGACUCCUACGGGAGGCUGCAGUCGAGAAUCUUGGGCAAUGCGCGAAAGCGUGAACCCCAGCAAUGCCGCGUGCGGGAUGAAGGUCUUCGGAUUGUAAACCGCUGUCACUCGGGACGAACAAAAUGACGGUACCGAGGGAGGAAGCCACGGCUAACUACGUGCCAGCCGCCGC